UUCUCGUUGAACAGUUUGUGGGAAAGUGGUUUGAUUUUAGCACUUAUUUUGAUGGAAAAAAAUGUGUUGUGGCUUGUAAUUAAAGUGUUGUCUGUAGAGCGAAGAAGAAAGAACCAGAAAAGGUGGAUUAUGCUCAAUUUCAAGUAGAAAUCCUUGUAAUAAUAGUUUAUCUCUGGAUUAGUUCUUUGUGAUUUAGGGAAUUAGUGAUAAUGUGUUCUUUGUGUUUUUUUACAAUGUGAUUUAUAGUUUCUGGAUUAAGACGAGUGAACAUUCUACACUGUAGGAACAUUUAAACUUUAUAGACUUUUAAAAACAAGUUUUCGGAGUUGAACAGUGUAUACAUGCAUACAGAUGUCCGUGUCUACGUGAGCCCAUGCCCAUAAAAGCCCACUGACGAUGGAUCAUGUGACCAAGCCACACGUUCAUAGUCCUCAGGUCUCCUAGGAGACAGCCGGUUCAGAGUGCAUGUUGCAGCCAAACACAUGCUUUCUGAACAUUGAACUUGCCCCUCCCCCUGACUUAAGCCGUAAUUCAAGUGUGUCUGCUCUGAUAGGCUGAAAAAAGACUUUCUUUGUUCGUUCUGUCUCUCACUCCCACUUUCUCUUGUUUUAUCGCUCUCUCUCUCUUUCUAUUGGGCUCUCUCUUUCCCUGGGAUGAAGAGAGCCCUAGAGGCUAUGUGAAAGGACACACGUAGGCACCUCUAGCAGGAGUUUGGUUGGCAGUGAGUCCGGUAUUGUGUACAGUCACCUUGAAGCUAGUCCACAAUCUCUGGCUGAAAGUCACAUGAGGACGUGUGUCUGCCUGUUCUACACCCAUUCUCUGAUCCAGUAGGGUGCAGCACAUCCAUCACCCUGAACCCCAGCAGGCCUGCCACGCUGUCUCACUCCCCUGAUUCUGCCUCUUCUCCUCCUGCACGCACCCCUCAGCCCUCCCUGGAGACCCCAGGGCCCUUCAUCCUCAAUGGACAGCAGGGAGAGGGAUGCAGGACCCUCGCCCAGGAGAUCUGCCUCACUCCUGGGAACCUGAGGGAGGAUCC
rnacentral:lncRNA from 12 species